ACGAUCUAAAGAUCCCAUCCCCAGGGAGUACUGGUACUUGGAAAUUCAUGGAUGAUGUAUCCAUUUCAGAGUCCCUGUCAAGAAACAGUGAAUCCCGUAUGCAGAAUCACCUUGAUGAGGUCAACACAUGGGCUGACAACAACCUAAUGAAGCUAAAUCCAAAGAAAUGUAACCCAUUUUAGAACGUCUCAAUUUGAGGGGACACCCCUUGGAAAUGUUUCCCAUCAUAAGGUUCUUGGCUUGGUUAUACAGGAUAAUCUUAAGUGGAAUGGGCAUAUUGCCAUGAUUGUUAAAAAGGCCUCCAAGCGUUUUCAUAUUCUUAGAGUUCUUAAACGGGG